AUUGAACGCUGGCGGCAGGCCUAACACAUGCAAGUCGAACGGUAACAGGAAGCAGCUUGCUGCUUCGCUGACGAGUGGCGGACGGGUGAGUAAUGUCUGGGAAGCUGCCUGAUGGAGGGGGAUAACUACUGGAAACGGUAGCUAAUACCGCAUAAUGUCGCAAGACCAAAGAGGGGGACCUUCGGGCCUCUUGCCAUCGGAUGUGCCCAGAUGGGAUUAGCUUGUUGGUGGGGUAACGGCUCACCAAGGCGACGAUCCCUAGCUGGUCUGAGAGGAUGACCAGCCACACUGGGACUGAGACACGGUCCAGACUCCUACGGGAGGCAGCAGUGGGGAAUAUUGCACAAUGGGCGCAAGCCUGAUGCAGCCAUGCCGCGUGUAUGAAGAAGGCCUUCGGGUUGUAAAGUACUUUCAGCGGUGAGGAAGGGAGUAAAGUUAAUACCUUGGCUCAUUGACGUUACCCGCAGAAGAAGCACCGGCUAACUCCGUG
rnacentral:rRNA from 1 species